UUGAUGGUGGCACUCGAUCUCAUGACACCUUAACUAUCAUCUCUCCGUACCCCGUCUCUGGCUUCGCCCUGGGAAGGAUCGCCGGAUCGCAGCUCGUCUUCCUCCCCCCUCCUCCCCGAUCUCGGCCUGCCCAAGCCCUAGAUUUCUAGGGUUUGUUCUAAUCGAAGCGCGAAUUUCUCACGCCUUCCUUGCUUUCUUUUCGUCUUAGUUGGGGAAGAUGCCUCUCAGACUAGAUAUCAAGAGGAAACUUGCUCAAAGGUCAGAAAGGGUAAAAUCGGUAGAUCUGCAUCCAACAGAACCAUGGAUUCUUGCAAGUCUAUAUUCUGGAAGUGUCUGUAUAUGGAACUAUCAAACACAGACUAUGGUAAAAUCUUUUGAGGUCACUGAGUUACCAGUCCGAUCAGCAAAAUUUAUAGCGCGGAAGCAGUGGGUUGUGGCUGGUGCAGAUGAUAUGUUUAUUCGUGUCUACAAUUACAAUACUAUGGACAAAAUUAAAGUAUUUGAGGCACAUACAGAUUACAUACGGUGUGUGGCUAUACACCCAACACUUCCAUAUGUUUUGUCAUCAUCAGAUGACAUGCUGAUAAAACUUUGGGACUGGGAGAAGGGUUGGAUGUGUACCCAAAUUUUUGAAGGACACUCUCACUAUGUGAUGCAAGUUGUCUUUAAUCCAAAAGACACAAAUACUUUUGCAAGUGCCUCCCUGGACCGCACAAUAAAGAUAUGGAAUCUUGGUUCUCCAGAUCCAAAUUUUACUUUAGAUGCUCAUUCAAAAGGAGUAAAUUGUGUUGAUUAUUUUACUGGUGGUGAUAGGCCAUAUUUAAUUACUGGUUCUGACGAUCAAACUGCAAAGGUCUGGGACUAUCAAACCAAGAGUUGUGUUCAAACACUUGAAGGUCAUACACACAAUGUUUCAGCUGUCUGUUUUCAUCCUGAGCUUCCAAUAAUACUAACAGGUUCAGAGGAUGGAACUGUUAGAGUUUGGCAUGCAACUACAUAUAGACUUGAAAAUACACUAAAUUAUGGUCUGGAACGAGUUUGGGCUGUAGGAUAUAUUAAGGGAUCAAGAAGGGUUGUAAUAGGAUAUGAUGAAGGAACCAUUAUGGUGAAGAUUGGCCGUGAAGUACCAGUUGCUAGCAUGGACAGUAGUGGAAAAAUCAUUUGGGCAAAGCACAAUGAGAUUCAAACAGUUAACAUCAAGACAGUCGGAGCUGAUUUCGAGGUUACAGAUGGUGAAAGAUUACCUUUAGCUGUGAAGGAGUUAGGAAGCUGUGAUCUCUAUCCACAAAGUUUGAAGCACAAUCCAAAUGGAAGAUUUGUCGUUGUUUGUGGAGAUGGAGAAUACAUUAUAUAUACUGCCUUAGCAUGGAGGAAUAGAUCAUUUGGAUCUGCUCUGGAGUUUGUCUGGUCAACUGAUGGAGAGUAUGCAAUCAGGGAAAGUACAUCAAAAAUUAAGAUCUUCAGUAAAACCUUUCAGGAGAGAAAAAGUAUUAGGCCAACAUUUUCCACAGAGCAUAUUUUUGGUGGAACACUGUUAGCUAUGUGCUCCAGUGACUUCAUUUGUUUUUAUGAUUGGGCCGAGUGCAGAUUAAUACGCCGGAUUGAUGUCAGUGUUAAAAAUCUCUAUUGGGCUGAUAGUGGUGACCUACUGGUCAUUGCUAGUGAUACUUCCUUCUAUAUUCUUAAGUACAAUAGAGAUGUUGUUUCCUCUUACCUAGAAAAUGGAAAACCAGUAGAUGACCAAGGUGUUGAAGAUGCAUUUGAGCUUCUUCAUGAAGUAAAUGAGCGGGUUAGAACUGGGAUAUGGGUUGGUGACUGUUUCAUUUAUAAUAAUUCUUCUUCACGGCUAAAUUAUUGUGUUGGUGGAGAGGUGACCACCAUGUUCCACUUGGAUCGGCCUAUGUACUUGCUAGGAUAUCUUGCUAGUCAAAGUCGGGUGUAUCUUAUUGACAAGGAGUUCAAUGUCAUGGGUUACACCUUACUCCUCAGCUUGAUUGAGUACAAGACACUUGUGAUGCGUGGGGACUUGGAACGUGCUAGUGAAGUUUUGCCAUCAAUUCCGAAGGAACAUCAUAAUAGUGUGGCUCAUUUCCUGGAAUCUCGGGGCAUGCUAGAGGAUGCUCUUGAAGUAGCAACAGACCCUGAUUACAGAUUUGACCUAGCAGUUCAGCUUGGUAGAUUGGAAAUUGCAAAGGCGAUUGCUACGGAAGUACAAAGUGAAUCAAAGUGGAAGCAACUAGGAGAGUUGGCUAUGUCUACCGGGAAGUUGGAGAUGGCUGAGCAAUGCCUGUCACAGGCUAUGGAUUUGAGUGGCUUAUUGCUUCUUUACUCAGCUCUUGGUGAUGCUGAAGGGAUAAAUAAACUUGCAUCUCUUGCAAAAGACCAAGGAAAAAAUAAUGUUGCCUUUCUUUGUCUAUUCAUGCUAGGUAAAUUGGAGGAUUGCCUUCAGUUAUUGGUGGAGAGUAACCGUAUUCCAGAAGCUGCACUAAUGGCAAGGUCUUAUCUUCCAAGCAAAGUCUCAGAUAUUGUGUCAAUUUGGAAAAAGGAUCUCAACAAGGUCAAUCCAAAAGCUGCAGAGUCUUUGGCUGAUCCUGAAGAGUAUCCUAAUCUUUUUGAAGACUGGCAGAUUGCUCUGGCUGUUGAAUCGAAUGUUGCUGAUAAAAGGGGUACAUAUCCUCCUGCUGAGGAAUAUUUACACCAUACUGAAAAGUCAAAUAUCAGUCUUGUGGAAGCUCUAAAAAGCAUGCAAGUUGAUGAUGAUGCCCUGCCACUGGAAAAUGGUGAUUCUGGCCACGAGGCAAUGGAAGAGAUUGGAGUAGACGAUGGUCAAGAGGAAGCUGUUGAAGUUGAUGUAGAUUAUUCGACCGAUAGUGCUGUCCUUGUCAAUGGAAAUGAGGGUGAGGAACAGUGGGGUAUGAACAAUGAAGGAACUCCAUCAGCCUAAACACAUUGGUUGGGCAAGUGUAAAUCCAAAUUUUGUGUCUGUGCUAACUUCCCAUGAAUAGCAACUUUGACAGGAGGGGAUUCAAAUAUUGAAGUCAUCACUCGGUAAUGAUCAGGUUCUAGGAGGAAAAUUUUGGUGGCUCUAUUAUCCUGCAGCCUUGAGUUUUCUUCCUUGUGAUCUCUGACCUUCCAGAAUCAUCAAUUGGUAUAUGCAGAUUCAUGAAAUGGCGUAAAGCCACAAGUUGCUUGUGCACUUGAUUCCUAAAGAACAGGUUCGAUGAGCUGUCCUUGGUUUCUCCGGCCAUCCUUUCUGCAUAGCCUAUCAGACUACUUUAAUUCAGCUAUUGUGUUCGAUUAUGUCAUUUUUAAAUGUUUGUUAUUGUUUAUUGAAAAAGAAAAUUCUUGAAAACAGUAUUAUGACCGAGUUGGUUUUCUUUUUAUUCUCAAAUGAAGAGCAUAAUCACUUGAUGAUCUUUUUAUCA